ensembl:ncRNA F09C3.7 ncRNA
AGCCUAAGCCUAAGCCUACGCCUGAGCUUAAGCCUAAGCCUAAGCCUA